UUGCUCCUUUGACGGUAGAGGCGGACGGGUGAGUAACACGUGGAUAACCUACCUAUUUGACUGGGAUAACUUCGGGAAACCGGAAUUAAUACCGGAUAAUAUAUUGAACCGCAUGGUUCAGUAGUGAAAGACGGUUUUGCUGUCUCUUAUAUAUGGAUCCACGCCGCAUUAUCUAGUUGGUAAGGUAACGGCUUACCAAGGCAACAAUGCGUAGCCUACCUGAGAGGGUGAUCGGCCACACUGGAACUGAAACACGGUCCAAACUCCUACGGGAGGCAGCAGUAGGGAAUCUUCCGCAAUGGGCGAAAGCCUGACGGAGCAACGCCGCGUGAGUGAUGAAGGUCUUCGGAUCGUAAAACUCUGUUAUUAGGGAAGAACAAAUGUGUAAGUAACUAUGCACGUCUUGACGGUACCUAAUCAGAAAGCCACGGCUAACUACGUGCCAGCAGCCGCGGUAAUACGUAGGUGGCAAGCGUUAUCCGGAAUUAUUGGGCGUAAAGCGCGCGUAGGCGGUUUUUUAAGUCUGAUGUGAAAGCCCACGGCUCAACCGUGGAGGGUCAUUGGAAACUGGAAAACUUGAGUGCAGAAGAGGAAAGUGGAAUUCCAUGUGUAGCGGUGAAAUGCGCAGAGAUAUGGAGGAACACCAGUGGCGAAGGCGACUUUCUGGUCUGUAACUGACGCUGAUGUGCGAAAGCGUGGGGAUCAAACAGGAUUAGAUACUCCUGGGUAGUCCACGCCGUAAACGAUGAGUGCUAAGUGGUUAGGGGGUUUU
rnacentral:rRNA from 1 species